rnacentral:rRNA from 1 species
AUACGGAGGGUGCAAGCGUUACUCGGAAUCACUGGGCGUAAAGCGCGCGCAGGCGGUCUUUUAAGUUGGAUGUGAAAGCCUACGGCUCAACCGUAGAACUGCAUCCAAAACUAUUAGACUAGAGUGUGGGAGAGGAAGAUGGAAUUAGUUGUGUAGGGGUAAAAUCCGUAGAGAUAACUAGGAAUACCAAAAGCGAAGGCAAUCUUCUGGAACACUACUGACGCUGAGGCGCGAAAGCGUGGGGAGCAAACAGGAGUAGAUACCCCAGUAGUCC